rnacentral:misc_RNA from 1 species
CCUUAUAACCUGGCCGCAAGGCCCGCUGGAAGCGCGGUUUCCCCCCAAAGUUCCGCGCCGACGGUAGACCCUUUGUGAAAACCCCUCGUUGCUUCGGCAGCACCUCCCCGCCCUAACCUGGUGGGGAGGGUCAGCCUGCCGGCGGCACCCCGAAAACUCAAGUUGCAAAGCAGUAUUUUGUCUGACCACACAGUCGAAUGACUUUA